GAUCUUGUUGUCAUAAACAUCUUCAAUCUUCUCAAGCAGUGUACUCUCUUCAAGACUAAAGCAAUUUCCACUUGUUUCUCUUGCUGUCUGAUCUUUCUCAGCAGCUUUACCCUUUAAAGACUCUUCCUUCUCAUGGUUUCUCCAAACUCCACACCUCUUCAGAGUUGUUUUCAUUUGUGAGAACCACCCCCACUCAUUCCCUCUCUCUUUCUUCUCUUCACGCCUUGUUGUACCAGAUUGAAGCAGCUCCAUUUUCUUUAGCCUAGAUCUUCCCUCAAAUACUUCUAAUCUCACACGCCAAGCUUAACCACAAGCUAGACCCCUCUUCUGACCUUGUCAAACACCUAAAGGGACUCCCUUGAAGCUGAC
rnacentral:lncRNA from 1 species